rfam:Aphanomyces astaci strain APO3 cont1.956, whole genome shotgun sequence.
GUCUACGUGGCCUAAUUGGAUAAGGCGUCCGCCUACGAAGCGGGAGAUUGCGGGUUCGAGUCCCGUCGUGGACU